UUGGAAUCAAAUGACUAUAAUUAAAACAAAUUAAAGUUUGGACCAUGACAGUGAAACAUGGCCAUGAUACAAAAUUCAGGCAUUUUCAAUGAUGUUUGGGUUUCAGUUGAUGCGGUUAACGUUAAAUUGAUUAUUCUUUAAUAAACUUAGACUACAUAUAUGUGUUGUAUGAUGAACAUUUAAAAACAGACAAAAUGAUUGACCUAAAAAUAAUAAUAAGAAAGCUGAGUUUAGGGUAUAGCAAGGGCGUAGGUCAAAGAUAUUCCUUAGUCAAAGGUUACUUCAAACACUUUAAUUAAUUGAUUAACUUAGUAUAUGUACGUUGUGUGGUCAUUAUCUCUUAUCUCUUUAACCAGGUUAGAGACUUGAAGAAACUCUAUUGCUAGUGCUUCGCUGUUUUCACUUUGGAAAUAUAUACCAGAUCUCUUUUUCUAUCUUGCUCUCUCUCUCUCUCNNNN
rnacentral:lncRNA from 1 species